rnacentral:rRNA from 1 species
GACGAACGCUGGCGGCGUGCUUAACACAUGCAAGUCGAACGAAGUGGCGAACGGGUGAGCAAUACGUGGGUAACCUGCCCUCCUUUUUGGGAUAAGCCUUGGAAACGGGGUCUAAUACCGAAUAAAGGGGGAUGGGCUCGCGGCCUAUCAGCUUGUUGGUGGGGUGAUGGCCUACCAAGGCGGUGACGGGUAGCCGGCCUGAUAGGGUGACCGGCGACAUUGGGACUGAGAUACGGCGACGACUGCCACGCGAGGGGGCAGUGGGGAAUAGUGCAAAAGUGGCGAAAGCCUGAUGCAGCGAAGCCGCGUGGGGGAUGGAAACUUAAGGGUUGUAAGCCUCUUACGCUAUCGGGCGGGUAGGUAGCGAAGAAGCGACGGCUAACUACGUGCCAGCAGCCGCGGUAAUUC